UCCCCAGUAGCUCAGUAGGUAGAGCAGCCGGCUGUUAACCGGCGGGUCCUAGGUUCGAGUCCUAGCUGGGGAGCCA
rnacentral:tRNA from 1 species